GAUGAACGCUGGCUACAGGCUUAACACAUGCAAGUCGAGGGGAAACGACGGGGAAGCUUGCUUCCCCGGGCGUCGACCGGCGCACGGGUGAGUAACGCGUAUCCAACCUGCCUCUGACUGAGGGAUAACCCGUCGAAAGUCGGCCUAAUACCUCAUGGCAUCGUCUGCGGGCAUCCAACGACGAUUAAAGAUUUCAUCGGUCAGGGAUGGGGAUGCGUCUGAUUAGCUUGUUGGCGGGGUAACGGCCCACCAAGGCUACGAUCAGUAGGGGUUCUGAGAGGAAGGUCCCCCACAUUGGAACUGCGACACGGUCCAAACUCCUACGGGAGGCAGCAGUGAGGAAUAUUGGUCAAUGGGCGGGGGCCUGAACCAGCCAAGUAGCGUGCAGGAUGACGGCCCUAUGGGUUGUAAACUGCUUUUAUGCGGGGAUAAAGUGAGGGACGUGUCCUUCAUUGCAGGUACCGCAUGAAUAAGGACCGGCUAAUUCCGUG
rnacentral:rRNA from 1 species